AAUUUCAGCUGAAAAAGUUAUGAACAUAAAAGUUGUAUAACUCAUCAAGACAUACAACUUUUAUUUUUAUAAUUUCUUCAUCCGACAAAGUGAUAGUAAUAUUGUUUACGAAAUUUACAUAUCUAUUACCUAUCUCUAUUAUAUUUUAUAGAACCAUAUGAGACAUAUAUAAAUUUUAUGAACAAUAUUACUAUCACUUUGUCAAAUGAAGAAAUGAUCAAAAUAAAAGUUCUAGAUCUUGAUGAGUUAUACAAGUUUGUUGUUGUUGACUUUUUCAGUUGAAAUC
rnacentral:pre_miRNA from 1 species